rnacentral:rRNA from 1 species
CAGUAGCCGCGGUAAUACGUAGGGUGCAAGCGUUAAUCGGAAUUAUUGGGCGUAAAGGGCUCGCAAGCGGUUUCUUAAGUCUGAUGUGAAAGCCCCCGGCUCAACCGGGGAGGGUCAUUGGAAACUGGGAAACUUGAGUGCAGAAGAGGAGAGUGGAAUUCCACGUGUAGCGGUGAAAUGCGUAGAGAUGUGGAGGAACACCAGUGGCGAAGGCGACUCUCUGGUCUGUAACUGACGCUGAGGAGCGAAAGCGUGGGGAGCGAACAGGAUUAGAUACCCGCGUAGUCCCUGUCUCUUAUAC